AGAGGGGCACUCUUCAUUCUUCAUUCGAAACUCAUGAAUGUCGGGUCGGAGGUUUCUGCCUUGUUAUCAAAAAGGGGGGUUGGGUAAAGCAAACUCCCUCCUUGGACGAGCACGGGGCUUAGUCAAGUAGAACCGGGUUGCGCUGCUUGAUGCUCCGAUCGAAAACAAAUCAGUGGGGCCAUGCCGGUACGACAGAAUAUGCGUUAGAAAGGUCAAUCCCUCCCCCCCUUUUUUAGUCAAAAAUAGAAAACCGGGCCGAACUUCUAAAAAGCAGCCCGCCCGCUUCCAUAGAACAAUAUCGUGGCAACGUAGACCUAAGUGGGUUUAUUGGAUCCUGGGGAACCAUCACAAGUACGGCCGGCCUAUAGAACGAGAAUGCCGUGUCGUCCAGCGGAGCUUAGAAGAAGGUUACUCGGAGCCUAGAAGAAGGAAGGUGACUCGCGCAGACAGCUGACUCCUUUUCAAUAGAAAGGAAUAGCCAAACCAACCCAGCUGGCUGGUCAAUCUCAGUGAUCUUAUCGGCCGGCAAACCGGAGACGGACGACCACGGUCCCGACCUUACCAGCACCGUAGGUUUACUAAUCAAUGAAGCCCCUCAACCUACUAUCUUUUCUUACAAAGUCAACCAAGCCUAACCAAACCGUCAUGGUCACGACAUGUUGUUGAUAUUGAUUGAGUUGGAGGGAGUCAGAGACUACCACGGAAUCCAUCCAUAAACCGUCACCCCGGUGACCUUCGUCACCAAAGCGUCACGACAGUUUCCAAAGGUUCCCCGUCAUCUCAUCUCCAGUGGGGGGCCCAAGAAGUCGGAGCACGUAGGAAUGCCGACCACUACAUAAGCCACGUCUGGCUGAGGCGAGCAACAAGCGGGGGAAAGUCAAGUAAAGUACAACAACGUUGGGGUGGGACGCUAGUACUUAAACUAGGGUUGCUUUGGCGCGCUAAUCUUACGUUUUUCAGCAGGCUGUUAGUUGUAGCGCGCUAGCGCGCCUUCCCUCCUUCUCUCACUUCGGAAAGAUUUUUCAGUAUUUUCUUAUGAUGACCUGGUCGAGAGAGUACGAAACAUCGGUGUAAAAGAUUGAGUGGGAUCAGUGAGGUUGGUUAUAGUAAGGCCUGGCCUAAAGUGCGCGGCUUACGAAAAGGUAAGCGGUUAGGUUGACUUUGCCCCCAUUUUUGCCUUUUUCUGAAUCGGAAGAUCAUCCAAUUUUUUUUCUCCGCGGGAUCUCUCUUUCCCAGCCACUAAGGUUCCGUUCGGUCCUCUUCCCCACCUUGAGGACCAAAGGUUGAAGAAGGGUUUUGACUAGUGCAUUUUCUCACUGAUUCCACUGGUUCUCGAUUGCUGUACACAACCACAUCCCGGUGAGGCUAGAGAAACUGGAGCUCCUAGGGAAGAAGCACUAUGGAAAGAAGGGCGUCGAAAGGCACGCACCUCGAAGGCGGACUUGUACUUGUAGCGUCAGCAUCAUCCCGAAACUCAUGAUGUAGCAGCCAUUUUUACAAGGCUACACCACCUGACCGGGGGGCUGUUGUUUGCUCACCACUGGGAGAUGGAACCAUAUCCAAUCAAUGGGGCUUCUUUGUUCAAUCUCUUGAGGUCGAAGAAAGGAUUGACGGCCUGUUGAUCAAGGAAAGCCAAAAUUCAGUCUUGCUUCUCUAGCUUGGGUUGUCUUCCCGGAUCCCUGCUUCUGGUUCUGGUUGUGGAUCUGCUUCUCCAGUGACGGGCGAGAGAACACUGCGAACAGUGCACAUCUCGUCUUAUCCACUUCUUCAUCUUCAGGAAAGACUCGCGUUAAAGCAGCUUGCUAAGAGUGGAAAGGAAGAGAGAGAAAUCCCCCUUUUUUAGGGGUCUAGAGGAAGAAGAAGCAAUUGCGCAACAAGCCCCGUGACCGGGAUAGGGAUAGGAAAGAGUGUGAUUGGUUGGGGGUGUCGUUCUACGCUCUCGUCACCCUUAUCCUGUCCUUGACCUAUCUAUUUUGCCUAGCGAGCGUACAGCGUACGUACGUACAUAGGCUCAUUCGCUGAGUUGUCAACGAAGAGUGAGAGUAGUGCAAUGCCACCAGUCAACAAUCAAUCAGGUACUGCUGGCUGGGUCAAAAACCGUUCAAUGCUUCUACUGUUCCCUGGUAUCCACGUUGUGAACUCCGUAAUAAGUCCUUAUGAAGUAUUUUUUUCCAGACAGGAGAUCCCGAAAAGGUUGGUUCUGCUUUCUUUUGUUUUUUUUUGCAUCCCAAUCAGUAUUUCUCUCCAAAGCCCGCUCUCCUCUGGUUUCAAUCUCCAUAACAGCUUGGCAGAUAGUGCUUUGUUUGCCCAUGUUUCGAAUGGAAAGGCCGCUUUUUGUCACUUUAUUUUUACCGAUUAGCGAAAAUGGGUUCUUUUCCCGCCCCCCGACCAAAAACACUUUUUGAUCAUUCUGCUCAGCCAAAGUCUUUGGAAUAGACAGGAUCGAGGCUCUAUAGAUUACCAUGGCCGAAAGUUUGGAUUUCAUGAGGGACACUAUGCCGGCCAAGGUCAGCCAUUGAUUUGCCCAUCCAUUCUUCCGGAUCCAAAGUACAGAGCAAUGGAAAUUCAGGGCCUUUGAUUUAUUUUCUCUCAAUAUAGGAAAAUUUCCAAGGUGCCGAGUCCCCAAUCUGAUAAGGUUCCUUGCAACUCUUCUUCGAAUUGGCAUCGGGGGGAAGUCUAUUUGACAUUUCUGCGGAUUGUUACGUGCAUAAGCGAGGCGCCAGAGGCUGUCGAGAAUAGAGAUAUAGCUUCUUUGAAGCGCCUCCCUUUCCUGCUACUUGUGCUUGCUUACUGGACUGGCUUGGCGGGCUCCGGAAAGAAGAUCUUCUUUUCUGAACUGCUUCGUUCUCGGCCUGGCUGGACUGCCUCCUCCAUAACAGGUACUGGUGCCGCUACCUAUGCUGCUGAUACUAAGCUGGGAUCUGCUUCUCGGUCGGAACUAGUGCUGCUCGACCUUACUUCUUUUUGCAAUACAGAAAAUCCAUUCAAAGGCAAAAGGAAAGCUUACCUAUAAAUGCGGAAUUCUCUCUUUAAGGCUAAGGCUUCACUUCAAGCAAGCAAUUGUUCUCUUCCACCGACACAGGGAUAAAGAAAGACUGGUUCCCCCUUUCGAACUAGAAAAUCCUCUUUCCCCUAUAACCCCCUUUCACUCAAAUAAUGAAGUUCCGAGAACAACCUCCUUUAGAGUCAUCUUAGCUUGAUGUGCCGGAUGUUCCCUUACUUAGUAGGACGGGUCGGUCUAUCUUCCAAUGUUUAGGACCGACCAAACCAAUGGAUAUGUUUGGGAUAAUGAGGAACUGAACCAGCAGAGAUUAGAAUAGAAUGCCUGAGCUUAUGUCUUUCGGGGCUUGGUCUGACUUCUUCGCCAGCUGGCUCGCAUUCCAGUGUGGAAGUCGAAUGAAAAGCAAUUUCAAUCUUUCUUAUUAAUUACCCCUCCGGGGGCCCCGGUUGAAGCACACAUUGGAACAUCAGUACCGGCAUUAUAACAAGUUUCACCAGCUAAUCUCCAAUCCCCAUAAUUGGCGAAGCAAGCAGAGUCACAGGCGAAGGUAGGCGAAUCAUGCUCUGAAGGUAAGACAAACCUGUCAUGAAGCACAAGGAGAAUUCGGUGGGCUUAAGGAGCUGCAUUAAUCUUUCUAGUGAUGUGAAAUGCGUUCUUUCUUAUACCGGUCACAGUCGGUCUAGCCGCACCGGGACUUAACCAGAAGGGAGAAUGACAUCCGUCUAGCUGUAGCUAGGAAUCCGGCUGAAACCACCAACAUCUGAGUUGAGCAGAAUCGCUUUCUUCCAAUUAACCAUUGUAUGCCAAAGCAAAGGAGUUCCUCUUAUGGGAUCGAAAGUACUAUAAAAAUGGAGGAGGCCGGAUGGAAGACUCAAUUAUGGGAACGAAAGGAUCAAGCGAGAGGAAUAGACACGUAAGAAAUACGCCACGCCAGUAGGAAGACUGCAGCUUUGAUAGACUGAUCGAUCGAAUAGAGAUAGCUUAGGUAAAAUAUGUUGGUAGGCCCUUGGUUGCAAAGAAGAAGAGCCCCUAUGAAGAGAACUCACGCUUGACACCCCGUUCUUAUGCCGUGUAAAGCGCAUUUUCAGAAGAGUGAUUGGCUUGCAGCCAUAGUGUGCACCUAGAAGUGACUUCUUCAUCUUGUCUUGAGUAAGAAGCUGGCCUUGGUUGAAUAAGCAGCCGGCCCUAUAGUAACGGGAAUAGUAGAAAGGGAAAGAACCAUUUCGAAAGCUGCGACUUGCCACUAAAAAGAAGCCAAAAGCAAAAGCUCUCCGGGCACACAUGGGCAGAUACUAUUUAGUAGAACUUUAAGCGUACCUUGCGCUUCUUCCCGCUUUGGAACUUUUUUCUUUUAAGUCCAAUCCUAGUGGCAAUAGAAAACAUUCAUCGGGAUUGACUGCCCUGCUUUCUUCUGCCUCCGUUUGUUCCUUCAGAGAAGACCGACUUCUGCUGCUGCCCGACCCCGUAGUUGAGCAUGCCUUCCCGACUCGCUUGACUCACGGCACAAGAGGAUGAAUUGAAAGAAAGAGCUAAAGCUCCCAUUGGAAAGCACUGCUGGAAGAACAGAGGCCGACUCAACAAUAGGAAUUUCUUAGCCCGCCAAUCAACGUUAUUGUUCAUGCUUCUUUUUGAAGGAGAGAGAAGCCUGUAACUCCUAAGCCUUCUUAAUGAAGCUGAAAGAAAAGUUGCAGGUUGAGCAGCACCAGUUCCGAACCCGAACAGUAGCAGUUCCAAUAGGAAAAACAAUCACAAGCAGCAGUCCUGAUUACCAUUCAUAUAGGACGGGACGGUUGACCUUCUUUCAGUCCUUCUUCAAAAGAUUCGUUCGUGCAAGCAAGCCGCCUGAUUGUGUUCGGUUAAUGACUGCUUUCUUUCUUAGCAUUUGUUUGAGCGAGAGACAAAAUCCCCGACAAACAUCUUUCCGGUCAUAGCAAAGCAUCAGUCAAAGAUGUAAGGCAGAAAGAUGAUAGUUGAGUAUAGCUUGCGUCCCUAACAGAUGUAAGGCAGUUAGAAAAGAUCUCCCUUUUGGCAGUUCAGCCACUAGUAAAAAAUGCUAUCUCGGUAUCGGUAAGCUCUUUCCUGGCUGAGACGGAACAAAUACCAUACCAUACCCAACAGCGAACCAAGAAGGGAAUGAAAAUGUGGGGCUAGCUUCACAAUCGGCCACAGGAGAGAAGUCCUGAGGGGCAUACCAUCUCAUUGGUUUCUGAGCUUUCUCAUAAGAACAACUGAGAAAUCCUUCACUGCCACAACUCUUGAUGAGCCUGCUCUCGUCACCUAGCUAGUCUAAGCACAUUCUGUGAAAGAGCUGUUCUAUAGAAGCAAUCAAUACCAAUUUCUGGAGAUGCCCUACUCCUUCUCAUCCUAUCAGUCCAUAGGGAGACUUCCCUUCCCCAAACCAGACCUAGACUUGAUCCAUAACCCUUGGGCUUUGAUGAAACUGUCUGGCAUGGUUCUUGAUCCUGAUCCUAGCUUUCACUCUUUGGGCUUCUAGUCUUGGAUGCCGAUAGGAGGUGAAGCUCUGACCAAGGAUGUGUAUCCAGUUCUUUUUUGUGAGCCUUAUUCCUCUAGGCCAAUCACAAGCAGAGGUACCAAAACUCUGAAUACAGCCCCUUUUCUAGGAGACCUCCUCUGCCUGCUAGAAUGAGCUGUAUGAGUAGUAUCAUAACCUUAUGGUUGUUCGUUCCUCUCCUCUGAGCCGCAAGCCAAGGUCCAGUCCCUGUUAUCAACCAGUUCUUCUGGUUGUUCCCGGUAAAUCAUAGAAUAGAAGAAGAAUAGUGAAAUCAUAGAGGAAGGUAUUCAAUAAGGUAUGAACAUUCAUUAGUGAAUUCCACUCCCUUUCUUUUUUGAAGUCUUUGACAUAGAAAAUCGGCAUUGGGUUUGUGUUUAGCUGUGGCUUUGAUUCUCACAGGAAUAGCUGGUCUGAGAUUUUGAUGUUCCUGCUCUUAUGACUGCUUCAAAAACUUUGUACUUUAUGUAGUUCUCCCAGGCCUCUGAGCUUUUGGGCUUUCGAGAUAGGCACUUCGCUUCCUGGACUAUUUGAGGUUUUAGGAAGACGCUUCUAGGCUGAGGCUUUCGAAACUAGGCUUUCCAGGCUACUAACGGAAAGCGCCAUAGUGCUUCUUAACGUAGCGAGCCUACACAGGCGGGUGCUUUCGCUAUCUAUAUAGGAAUUCUACUUCCUGUUCGAGUCGUAAGAGGAGAAAAAACGUCGGUUUAACGGAAGCUGGUGUUAGGGUAGGGUUUAGAGUUUCCCUGUUUGAAAGACUAAGGAUGUAGGGAUAAAGAAGAGCCCUAGGGGAAGCAGGAGAUUGAGCUAGACCAGACCUUGAUACUCACCUUCGUCGGGAAGAUAUCGACUUUGAUAACAGCUUGAUCCAGAUCUAGCGCUGACCUUUGACGGGUGAUCUCCCCUUUCCAAAAUAGAGGACUUGGGAGAGUUUGAACGACUGAUUGAUCGAUAAAAUCCGGGGCUGAGGACCUAACUUGUUGAGCAAAGCCCAUCUUUUGAGACUACGUCUUUCAUCUUCAACCAGACUCUUUCGAGUCGAAAACCCUUCAUGAACCUUUCAUUUUUCGCCUACUUGUGACGAAACCCCAUAUUUUUGUCUUAACUUCUUUCUGUCUUCCUUCGGGCUGGAGAUAAAGCGGAGCUCAAAGCGAGGAGGGACUAAGGGCGAGUGACCACUUGCGGAAUAAUCACUUGAGAAAGCCAUUAACGGGCCUAAAGAACCCAAAUCUUGAUCCGAGAGAGGAGAGAUCAAUCCUAAAAGCUGAACCACAUUCACAGUAGGAUUGAUUAGUGUCGUGAAAGAGGGAAGAGAAAGAGCGAAAACUCACUGAAAGAGUUGCUCAAGUCCAGAAGAAUAUCAAGUAUUUUAAGAGAAGAAGUUAUUCAUUAUGGUUCCAGGCCGUGUUUGCGAUCUAUUCGGUCAGUGCUCUCGGUGCCAGCUAGUCUUCUAUCGGGGCUCUUGCUUUCGGCUAGUGUUCUCUUGCUCUGGAUAGUCUUAUUAGGUCUAAACUCCUUGACUUUCAGGAAGUACUCCCUCGCUCGGUUUAAUGAAUGUAGGUAGAAAGAGCUUCGGGCUGGACCUGGCCCCCCAAAAAAACUGGGGAAGAUCGACCAAUCCUCGCAUUAUCAUCGGCCUUUGCUCUUGCUGCUCUUCCUGACCUGACCUUUCCUGUACAAAAGAGGAAAUCUCCUAAAGUCAAGCCAGAGAAAUUUCGAAUCCAGGCCACAGGGAGAGCAGUACAGUAAGUUCUUCUAUGUGGGCGACUAAAGAAGGGCCGCAGCUCUCAAAGAAGCCUUGUACAUAGUGUACAUAGUAGGGGUGUCUCACUGUCGACGUUUUCGAUUUCGGGCCAAAGACGAAAGAAAUCAACGAGAAGAGUCUGCCUCUCAGUCUGUCUAAAAUUCCUACGUGGAUAGUAGGAAGAGAGGAAUAAGAUUAAUGAAAAGGAUGCAUCGAGGUUCGAAGGAGUUGUCCUCCUGUAUGCAUAACAAGAUCUCUCUUACCAUGUCUCAUCCAUACGUGGUUUAAGUUGUUAACUCUAUAGAAAUAAAAGAAGCUAUAGAGCCAUAACAUUUGCCUUCAUUGCUUCGGUGUACGGUUGACAUCGAUAAGGGAAUGCGUCCUUGGCUUGUACUUUUUAGUUGGGCCCAAUGGUCUAACUUAUGGUUGCCAUGACCUUGAUCCGAAUAGGGGUCGAAAUCCAUAGUUGCACCAAGAACCGUAGCACCAAUCCUACAAUAUGGUUGCAGCCAGAGGAUGGGCCGAAGCACCAAGUAGGAGAGGUCAGAGUAGUGGUCGCCGACUGAAAGAGAUUCGAGGUUGGGGCAGGAUAGUCUACGUGACGAAGAAGUGAGGAAGAAAGAAUCAAGAGAAAUGGGUUUAGCACGGACUUAUUAGGCCAAAUAUAGAUGUUGAAGAAGAUUAAGACGCAAAGCACAGGCAAUGGGCCCGCACCAGAGAAGAAGAAAAUGAAAUGUCUAGAAUCACAAAUUCUGUAUCCGAAAUAGACGACUAAAGGGGCCCAGUACGCAGGGUCGAGAUAAAAAGAACCUUCGACAUCGGGCUGGCUCUUUGAUCCUCGACAGACCAAAGCGAAUAGACCGUCCUCCUCCCUUGGUACAGCUAUAGCUGCCCUAACCCUUAGCCCUUUGCCUUGGCUGUUCGAAAGCCACACUAACAAGUGGAGGAGGGGGUUCAAAAGCAACUGUGACUCAUGCAGUAGACAAAGUAAUUUCGACUCAAAGAUAAAGGAAAUCCCAUUGAGUAGUUCCAUAUUGGGGAUAUCGGAAAAAUGAAAGAAAAAGGGCUUCUUUGAGCAGUUAGGUUAGGUGCGAAAGCCCAGUAUGGGGGUUGUGUACAGUGGAUGUUGGGGGGGUACCAUCUCGGUUCAAGUGAAUGCAUCUGAGUUAGCAAGCAGGUCGGGUACAAGAGAAAAAGAAUGUGAUCUUCAGGUUCUGAGUGAGCUGGGCAGUCAUUCUCCUACUCCUUUCUAUGUCUCCUCCUCUUAUGGAAAAUGGGAAGUCGGACUUAGAAUCUGCUUAUUCAAUCUCUUGUCCAGAUUAAUCUCUCACUCCACCAGGGCAGUUGGCUUUCGCGAAGCAAGAAGGAGUCAGUUCAUCAAUGCGCUACGCUAGUCAUCACCAUUGAGUGCUGGAGCAAGAAUUCUAUGAAAAGGGGAGUCAGAGUUUCAAAAAAGCCACUGAAAUCGAGUACAUUGAGAGAUCUUCGGAUUUUCGGUCUACAGGUCGCGCAUCAGUCCCAUAUGUUCCCAUCGAUACAAGAUUCGGAAAUGAUUUGUUGCAAUCUUUGACUGUGGAAGGAGAUCUGCACUAGGCUGAGAUUGGUCCUCUGUUUUCAGCAUCAAGGGAUAAGAGAGCACCUGUUGGAUAUGCAAACAAGAGAAUGGGCCAUACGGGUGCUUUAGAUUACCAUAACGAAGAUCUAAACUAUGCCAUCGAAAGAGAGCUUUCGUAGGUUACGUCAUUCUAAAAAUCAAGCGGGAAUGUAGACUAAGUGAUCCGUAGUUCCAUAACCACAUAGUGGAAAGAAGGUUCUUAGUGCUUUCCUUCGGUACGCAAAACCGGACCUUCGUCCAACAGUUAGUUCUAGCUAUGGGGAAUUUGAAUGAAAAGUGGUGCACCCGGCCUUGAGCACUCCCGUUCGAAGCCAACAGGAGCUGAAAGAUUUCAUUGACAGUGUAGUGGUGAUAGUCUCACCUUGGGCUAUGCUUUCAACUGAACCAAAAUAGGCAUAUCUGCGCUAAAAGUCCGUCAAGAAAACGAACUUGAUUGAGCUAUGUCAGCAGGGGAUUGCUCUGAUUCACUUUCUCUUACUCGUUCUAUGGAAAGGGAAUCCGGGUAGUCGUUUUCAAGCGUGACCAUCAAUCGGGUUAGAAAAGAAAAAGGUAUUUCUUAAACUGGAAAUGUGCUCUAUGCUUCAACCACCAUAUUCUCCCUUUUUCAAAUUGGAGUCAGCCUCUUACCCAUUCCUUUGAGGUUGGUGGAAAGUGUGAGAUCCGAAUCACUUUCUUAGUCUGCUUAUAUUCUUCUUGUUCGGAUGUGUCACCUACUUUACUUCAUUGGGAGAGUUCUAUCCCUCAACGGCGGCAAGCAAGGUCGGUUGAUUGAAUGAUUCGAAAAAUGAAAAGCAGUAGUACUUCACCUAGAGAGAGAAAGCCAAUAAGACCGUGCUAAGUAAGAGACGGAAAGCACUCACUGUGAUGAAUAGUUACGUACAGACUACACAGAGGCAACUAAUGGUCGUGUACCCAAGGUCAGAUGAUGACAUCAGUGCUUCCAAGCAUAGGUCAGAGAAGGAGAUCAAAUCAACACUGAGAUGGCCUCCUCCUCGGUCCGCUUCUGAGGAUCUCUAGUUGGCGGGGGCAGCUAACAAGGCCUACUUCUCAACCGGUUCACCAGAAGGGCUGCUUAUGGGAGCAAGGUCACUAAGGUGACUAAUCCAUCAUCAAAAUAGUAAAAGGCAGGAAAAGACUACAAUGCCACAAGCCAUGUACAACAGAGAAAAGAAAGUGCAUCUCACUACCAGUGCCGUCAAGAUGGGGUACAAGCACCUCUGGAACAGCAAGUUCAACUUCUGGAUGCUUAAACAACCACACCCUUUCCUGCGCCUCGCCUUCGUGGUAGGCCGUUCUCGGCUAAUGCCAUUUCGAGGGCUAAACGAGACGAGCCCCAGACGAGAAUCGCAGCUAAUCCUUAAUGCUCAUCAGAGCAGGGAUCUUCUUCAUGUGAGCGACAAUACCGUACACCAUCAUAUCCCUCCUAGAACGAGGAGGAGGAGGAGCAUCUUUCUUCGGUUUAACAGACUUGGGGGAAAGUUCUUCGGCAGGCUCGGCGUGAUCACGACUGGCUGACUUACCGAACGGACUACAUACACCGACUAGCCACUGAACGGACGGACACUUUGAUCUUGAUCGUGCAAUCUAAGUCGCAAUGAAGGACUAUCGUCAAUGCGGCUGGAGCCGCUAAAUCCCACAGCAAGUAUUCUCAGUCGGCGAAGGCUAGAUCCCAUGGUUGGAGUUUUACCUCUUUGAAGAAAGAGCGGACGUCACUCGUCUGUAUCACAUCGAGAAACAUCCUAUAUAAGUCAGAAAAGCAAAAUAGAGAAAAAAGUGGAGUUUUCAAGUCAAGCGAGAAAGCAAGUGGAUCAGAAAAUUAUCUCGUGCUGGUAGCGAGAAGGAAGUAGGCAGAUUGAGAGAUUCUUUCUUUCCAGGCUCCGAGGCAGAUGAAGAAAACCUAUCUCUUUCCGCUUAGGUGCCGUCAGAGAACUCGUUAGUCAGUAAAGCCCACGGCAGGUGCUGCUCUUAGUAAAGCAAGCAUUAGUAGUAUCGAGCUCGGUACUCGGUUGAGGGCUAGUCUUGUAUUUCGACGGUCUUUUAUUACUUUGAUUUUUUGAUUCAAAACUGAAAUUCGAGUUUUUAUUGAUUUGGUAAGAUAAGAAUGGUCUUCCUUAUUCUCAUGCUGUUCCUCAUCCCGCAUUUCCGAAGGGGGAUGUCCUUCACUGCUACAACACAAGCUAUAACUCCUUGUUUACCACUCAACCGAGGAAUCUUCUUAUUUGGGUAGAGGAAGAGGAAAGCUAUUAAGACGACUUUUAGCUACAAGCGUAAUUAAGCCAACCAGAUUGCGCAAACGCCUUAAAAACUAUAGUAGCAGCUAACUAAUAGAGAUGCUGCCGGAAGAAGCAGCAAGAGGAUGAAAAGCAAGGAGCGAAAGAGGGCCGAAAAGGAUCCUUAAUUCAAAAUGAAGGCACACUCGCAGGGAAAUGUGGUAGACCGCUAAGCAGACAAGAAGAAAUCCUUUCCACAUUAGCACUUGAGCUCAGAACAUUUUUUGGAGAAAAAAGACUCACAAGGCAUCUAAAAAAGAAAAGAAGUUUACCAGGUUAUCUAUGAAAAGGGCUUUCACUGGGCUUCUUCCUGAAGAUAUAUUAGGCCUUAAGACGAUCACAAUCACAACCUAUGGAGACAAAUAAACGAGGGCAAACAGAGAUAUGAAAGUAGAGAGCUAACCGGAAAAGACCCAUUGAAAGAAGGAAUUCGCGCUUAUCAUAAACUCCCAGUCGUGAACUUCCUUUACAAAACCAAGAAAGUAAACGAGAGGAAGGGGAGUCUUCAUUAUACAGGAUGGCGAAUCGAUAGACCUCUUCCCUAUUGUCGACAGAUAGGCUCGUACUUCUUUUCUUCUUCCUCUUGAAAGUUCUCUCUCUUCAUUGAUUGAUUUCGUUUCCAAUGAAAGAACUGAAAGAUAAAGAGAAGGUUCCCUCGGGGAAUCGAAGAAGGCACUGAAAGAGAUAGUGAAACUGGGGCAAGAAGAACUGAAGGUUCAAAAGAUUUAAUGAUUGCUGCUGGUAGCCGGUCUGCCGGUCGAUAAGCAGCAGCCACAUCCACCCUUCUCUUCUAAAUUUCCUAGUUUUCUAAAUCUCGAAGAUAAGCAAGGUGUCUAUCCGGGGAUUCAUUCCUAUUCGAGAACCGCUUCACCGAAAACAUGGGGCAAAAGCAGUCUUUGGCGGUCGAGGGGAACAGCCUUGGAAUUGGUCAUUUUUGAAUGACCUUUCCAAUCAAGAAGAAUAGUUCGCCUUUCCCUGUCUUUGAACUGUUUUCGAAUGCCUUGAAUUCCCAGAUGGGUGGAGGACUAGAGAAGUCGGAUGCCCGAAUAGAAUAUGAAAAUCAAAAGAAAUCUGUGUUGUUCGACUUUGAACCGAAACCGAUUCAAGAGCCCUUUUAUUUGAUAUGUUAUUAUUUUUUUUGCUCUUACUUUUAGCGAUUCCAUAUCAACUAAUGGAAUAAUAAUAAUAAUUUCAAUUAAAGGUUGAAGUAGUGCUUUUUUCUUAAAUUAGAUGAUGUUGUUCUACCUAUUUGUCUGCCGAGGAACGCAGUAGCUUUCUGGUUGAGUUGAGCGUAUGUCUUUGACAAGAUAUUUAUCCUCUGGUCUUAUUCCCGAACCAUCGGGUUGGUUGUCCCGCGCAGAUAUCUGUUGGGAUCUUUUGCAAACAUCGUCAUCUCAUAGAGAGGCUUUCCUCAAUUCCCUUCCCUUCAAAGUAGGCGAUAGGCGAUAGAUGGCAUUGGCUUAAAUGUGAUAUCAGUUAGAAGGCACUUGCUUAGCAGCUUUAGAAAAUGAGAGGCAAAAAUUGAUCAAUCUUUCUCGCCAGUUUGGGACUCUCCAUGCGUAUGGUGCGCUCGUCAAAAUAGGGAAAGGUCUUUUUUUAAUUACCCAAUGCGAUUGCACCAUUUUCGGGACCUCUGAUGUUGGAAAGGACUAUAUGUACAGCAUCACCUUCAGGUAUUGAAAAGGUCGCUCUUGAUGCAAGAUUCCUCCACCGAUGGAUGAAGUCAACAGUACUUUCUUUGAUCCCCGUAAAUGCCUCUGAGAAAGGUUAAUCAACUCGAUCAAGCACGGCGGACGAUCUGCUUGGUGCAACUACUUUAUGAUGAAUAAGUCCACCACAUCCUCAAACGUUCGGAUUGCAUGAAUGGGGAGAGAUAAGAACCAUCGUGCGGCGCCUCCGACUUCUGAAAAAGGUAGAUCAACAUCCCCUCCUACCUCCUCUACGUUCUUGACAGCCCAUCUUUGUCUCAGUAGAGUCUUUCAGUGGCAUGUUUCGGUCCUCUUUCCCAUUACUUAGAAAAAGUGAGCCACCGGUUCAGGUACAAGAUACUAUCAUUAUCGCCUGGACAAUUAGACAUCCAACCCGUAAUCGCAACGACCCAAUUGCAAGAGCGGAGCUCUACCAACUGAGCUAUAUCCCCCCGAGCCAAGUGAAGCAUGCAUGAAGGAGUCAGAUGCUUCUUCUAUUCUUUUACUUAGCGCAGCUGGGCCAUCCUGGACGUCGAACCAGAGACCUCGCCCGUGAAGUAAAUCAUCGCACCUACGGUCCAACCAAUUGGGAGAGAAUCAAUAGAUUCCUUUUCGGGAGCGAUUCAUCCUUCCCGAACGCAGCAUACAACUCUCCGUUGUACUGCGCUCUCCAAGUGUGCUUGUUCCCCUCCGUCUUCCUUACCAUGGCAAGUCUUUGUGAAAGAACUCCGAUGAGAAGAAAAAAGAAGGCGUUAAGAGAACCCUCCUGGCCCAACCCUAGACACUCUAAGAUCUUUUUUCAAAUCCAACCUGCUCCCAUUUCGAGUCAAGAGAUAGAUAAAUAAACACAUCCCAUUGCACUGAUCGGGGUCGUUCGUAGUGACUGAGGGGGUCGAAGACCAAGAAGUGAGUUAUUUAUCAGCCAAGCAUUCUUCUUAUGGCUAGAUCCAAUCUCCUGGUCCCUGCGGAAAGGAAAAAUAAUUUCAACUUCUUCUUUUCGGAAAGGGAGGAUUAGGAAAAUCCUAUUGAUUGCUGCUUUAUCCAGACCUCCGGGAAAAGCAUGAAAAAAAAAGCCUAAAAACUCAAGCAGGGAGAACUAAGCUAAGAAAUAAAGCAUUGAAAGACGUUCACCGAGUCCUUCUAUCAAGGGAAGAACUCGGCUUACUUACCAGGAAUGCACCCUAAGGGAAAGUUCCUGAGUUAGUCAAAAAAAAUCAAUGAAAGUACAAUCAAAUAAAACAAGAGCACUACACGCUCCCUACGCGCUCCCAUACAGCGAAAAGAAAGCGCAUUCCACACAACUUCCGAAAACUAUGUGUUCAGUGCGCCACACAUACGCGAUGAAUCAUUUGUGAUUUAUUGCUUUAGUAAUCACUAUUCGUUCGUUUCGAAUGGACUCAUUGCAGUAAAUUCUGAGGAUCGUAUCUGCAUCUUACACCACUUCCACUUCUGUUUUCCUUCCUAAAUGAGAGGAGGCUUGCUUCUGGCUUUAGAAUAACACCUUUCAAACCGAAUGAAUGAACCAGCGAAGAGUUAGGAUCGACGGGCUGGUCGAGCUAGCUCUAAUCGAACUGUGACAUCACGUAAAGUAAGUGUCACGCGAAUAUAGAGAAAAAGAUUCAAAAAGAGCGCCGUGCUAGAGUGCAGGCGCUUCAGCAACGGGAAAGACGUAGCUUUUGAAUCAACGAAGCACAAAGCUUAUUUAUGGUAAGGCGGCGGAGAAGUUUCAUUUCAUAUUUCAUAAGAGAAGCAAGGUCCACAGAAGGUUAGGAAGGAGUAUGCCCGGUUCACCAGGUUCUACCACUGCAGGGCCCAAUCAUAGUCAAAAUCUGAGUUUGAUCCUGGCUCAGAAGGAACGCUAGCUAUAUGCUUAACACAUGCAAGUCGGCAUUCGGGUUCCUUCUCCUCUGGCAUACGGGGAAGGCGCGGGACUCCACUUCCCGAGACUAAGCAUAGAGUAAGCUGCCUGCAGAGCAGAACGUCGAGAUUCUCGAGUAUGCCCUGGCAGUAGAGCUCGCUGAAUUCGAAAAAGAAAAAGGAUACUUCGAACCAUGUUACGAAGACAGGACGGAUGUGAUCUGAGUUCCUAUGGCGAGAAAUUUGGCCUCCUCGUGGUUAAGAAAUAUCAAGAAUUCUUUCCUUAGUACAGUACCCAACAUAUGGGAUCGCCUCUGUCGAGCAGAUCAGACCUACAGCAGCUGAAGCCUCCUGGGAUAUCUGUUUCCCGUUAAUCAAGAAGGGAAUGAAAUUUGCAAGGAUGGGGAAAGAUCUAUCAGAGGUGGAGAGAAAGAGAAAUUGGCUUACUGGGCGAUCUAAAACAUCUUCGAGCUUUCAUCAAUACAUCUUCACUUCUCAAAGGGAAACAUGCGUCACUCAAAGAGAGGCUCGAGAAAGUUAAUGCAGACAUCGUAGCCGUAGCCUCCUUUGACAAAGUGAGUAAGAAGAUAAAGUUCGAUCAUCUCUAGUAAGCCAGCCCCCGGUGGGAAUAAGAAAGCCAUUUUUUCGUGGGGAUAGGAAGUUCUAGCUUCCUCCCUGGGCGGGAGUGAGAAAGAUGCUGCUAUCUUAGCAACUGGAUCUGAGACUGCUGCAACAACUGAUGUAGUUUCUACUUCCGUGACUCUCUAUGCCACUGCCACUAUCUCUGUCCCUACCGCUGCAACCUUCGCUCCAGUUAUUGGAGUCAGUGCUGCUUCCAUUGCUUUAGCAAUAUAUGAAACAGGUACCAGAACCUCUCGAUUUCUAAAAGUGCCGGCUCGUUCUUCUAAUGGAUCGAAAGGUCAAACCAGGCUCCUUUUACGUACCUUUAUUUAUACCUAUAACGGGACACCACUAUUGGAGAGAAGCUCUAACCACCACUGGAUAUAGAACCGUUGCUGGUGGAACCGGAACAGCCCGAAGAUUCGAUCAUUUUUUGUAUAUAAAUUAUAGGGCCUGCCCGUAGAUGUCUAUCCCGUGGUGGCUAUAGAUUGUAUAUUCACUUUAUUUGGAUCUGAAAUGAGUUCUGCGACUAUAGGAUGGAUCUAAACCUGGAACUGGAAACCCUCCGAGGUGUGUAAGUGCUUAGGCAACGAAAAAGAAAUUGGAAGAAGGCACAGCUAGUGAACCAAUGACAAAGACUUUCUUUUCUCCCCAUCUCUCUCUGAUACUGAGGGCUCUUGAUCUGGCUCAUAUGUAGGGAAUGAAAAUAUGUGUCAAAUAUGCGCUGUAGCUAGGACCUUUGCGUUUCAAGGGGAGGGGAGCUCCCAUCUAUCUUAAGUCUCAAGGGCGUAUGCCUUUUUGGGAACUCCACGACGGUUGGGAAUAGCGUUAGGCCCAGCAGCAGCGGUUCUUAUUCCUCCGGACAGGCAACGUUAGGCAGCUAGUCCCAAGCAACUAAGUGUAAAGAGGACGAAGGAGAGGAUGGUCGUUUUUUCGAGCAGUAGACCUGCCCUAAGGAUAGGACUCUUUAGGAAGAGGGCUGCUACUGGCGAUCACUCAACCAAAUUUGCAAGCAGCCCAAAAGAUUUUUAGCACUCGGGCAGGCGCUCAGAAGUCUUUAUUGUUUGGCUAUCUUUUCGGGAAGGAUGAUGAGAAAUACGUAUAUCAUUUUUUAUAGACUCGGCCGGUUGACUCGAAUGAAAAAAGAAAUAGGAGGGUUAACUAGACAAAGACGAAUAAACGCACCAAAAUCUCGCUCAUGGCGGGGAUGAUUCACAUCCAAAAACGCUGGAAUGACGAGACUUCUUCCCCAGCGCUUAAAUGCAGCAAUAAUGGAACGCAUCGGCCGGGCACAGCUACGCAUGGAAGACGGUCAACUUUACUGAACUGAACAAAGUGGUUGUUUUCCUACAGGGGUUUGAAAUGCACCCCAAAAUAGUCAGGCGUGGGGAAUAUGAUAUCCACCCCGACUGUUUUAGGGAAGAGACGACUGUAUUGAUGAUAUCAUCUCUUCUAUCUCCCCUUCUUUAAUGGCAGAGGGCGAACCCUCUUCGUGCAACUCUUCCCGGGAAGUGAAUUGGCUUCUUCUCCUUUUUCAGAAGGACUGAGUGAGUGGUCCUUCCUCUUCAAGCUGUAACCACCACUUGUCCUCCAGAUCGAUUUCCAUCUCCUCGCUAAAAAGAACCUGGCAUCCGCAGGGAUGCGGCCUUGGUGAAUGAUUGGUCCAACGGCGGCUCCGGCGGUCUUGGAACAUAACAUAGAGAUCUGCCCAGUUGAUCUUCGGCUUAAAAAGAUCAAAUUCUUUUUCAUUCUUGGGGGCGCCCCAUCUUCUAAAAUCUUCUCUCAGAGUUGUUGUCACCGAUGGCUCUUUCAUCAGGUCAGCAGAGGAGCAUUGCAUGCUUGCUUGCGGUACCGUUGUCCCAUCCUUUCUUCUUCUUCGUCAUACAACGGAAAACACUUCGUCCAGUGCUCAGGCUUCUUCUUCGAGGUUUGGUCCUACUUCUUCUUUUUUUUUCUUACGAAAAAGGGAGGGGAGCCUUAACCCGAAUUCUAAACCGGCGUGGCACUGCCUUCUGAUCAAUAGAACAGGAAGAGGAUAAAAUAAAGACCACCAAAAGUCACGACCACCAAGAUACGCAUAGUGAUUCGAUCUUUUGAAAACCCAUUUUUUGAAAAAAACCAUUUUUGGGGGCUUACGCGUUACACACGGAAGAUUGGAUUGCCUGAAUCACGAGUCUUAUAUACAGUGUUACGAUCACCUCAUAUUGAUAAAAAGUCCAGAGAACAAUUUGAAAUGGAAAUCAAGAAAAAAUUUUUGGUCAUAAAAACGGAAACGCAUGAAUUGCGCAAGAAGUUCUUUCGGUUAAAACGCCGUGCGACUCGGAGGACAUAAGACUUUUUGGUCAGGCCCAAAAUCUUGCCGACUGGAUGCUCCUACCCCACCAUGCCUAGCCCUUUACCUUAAGAAGAGGAGAGGAGGUAUGAAGCGUGGGAAACUAUGCUAUAAGUGUAUGAUACAACAUGUUACCUUAAGGAGUGGCGGCAAAACUCUUAAUUGAUCAACGCGAGUGAACUGUGCUUAGACGCUUCGUAAAACCGCACCGCAUCUACGAGAGGAGCUGAUGGAUGAGUGGGCUUCCCCUUUCGAUUCACGGAAUGUGAUCUGGGACACGAUGGGAGUUAGCGUGCCUCGGUAGGCAAGAGAUCACCGGAGUAUAGCACAAGAUCGCCUUUUCUUGCUGCCAUGGGGUCAACCUGUGAACAAAGUAAACCCAAUGGGAUGGGAACCAAAAAACGGGAGGGUACCGCAUUGGGCAGAAGACGAUCCAAAAAGCGAAGGCUCACCCUUCAAAGUGCCGGGUGAGAUAGGCGACAGGUAGCUUGCUUCCAAGCCGGCCCGGCCGCGAGGAAUCAAGAGAUCUUUGCCGGUGCUGACUUGGAUCUCGGGUGACGGAAUAAGGCGGCCAGAAGCGACGAGCAGUCGCGGUCGAAGCUUGGCUCUAGCCGAUAGGCUAGCAGUAAGCUUGGCUACAGCGAAGCGCUUACCAAGCGCGAAGGAAAGGGCCUUCGCCACUUGAGCCGUAUGCGGGGGAACUCGCACGUGCGGUUCUUAGGGAGGGAGAACGUCGGUUGAGCCAUUCCAUCCCAAUAGCGUAUAUUUGGAGCUCAAUAUGAAAUCCGUCUUUCUUGCAAGACCCGUUCGGAUAAGGGCAAACUCCAGAGAUUGCUUCGAAGUAAGAUCCUUGCGUUGACCCUUUCCUCAACCAGAACCACAUUCUAUAUUGAUUGUCUCAUUAUUUUAGUUAUAUAUUUUUCAUAAAUGUCUUUUCUUACGCGCAGUGUCUGACUGUUCCCUGCUGUUGUGGCUUUCUCAUUCUUGUACUAGACCAACCUCUCGAUAUGCCCGAGAAAAAAGGAAGGUGGGAAAUCGACCAUUUCCCCGGGUGUCUUAGAACCCUCUCUAGGGCACCUCCGCAUUGCCAUGCUGCUGGGACGUACAAGUGCGAUUUUUGACCGAUUUUAUAGUAUUAUAGAAUGAGUUCUUUUUGGUAUUUCAAGUCUUUCUUUUAUUUGUCUUAUCCUGACUUCUUUAAAAAAAGUCAGUGAUUAGGGAAUAAGUAUAAGUAGUUCAUUACGGACAUCCCCCUCCCCCUCAAUGUCCGGGAUUCCUGUGCAUGCUCCCGAGGCAGGAGGGGCAAUCAAUAGGUCUGGGUCGUUCCCAAACCUCUAAGGGUGCAUUGGCCCCCCAAUCCAUUUACCGACAUAGCAACGGUCGAGUGCUUGGAAGGGAGAUCUCAGAAAAACCACGCCCGGUAAGGUCGGUUCAACUCCGCAUAGAUGUAUCGUAUCGACUCCUCCACCCGACGUCAAUCUCUCGGGAAUAGGGAGUUGUUACAGGUUUUUGGGGUUUCAGCCCCUAUCACGUAAGGCCCAGCUCCUGGACUGGCCCGCAAAGGGAAGGGCUUUGAAUGCCGAUUCCCACAUACAUACACCUCGAUUUUUAUACAGCUGGUCGGUCGUUACUAUUAUAUAUCCGGGGCGCGAGGAAAUAUCGGAAAAGCGGCUGGUCGUCUAACUUCACCAGUAGUAUCCCGGUUCUCGUCCCCGUCCACUAUUCGAUCGAGCAUGCAUUUAAGCCUAUUCCCCGCAGCCCUAUUGCAGGAAAGGCUCGAUGACUAAUCGCUUCAUUCUUUAGCCAAGCCCCAGCAAUUCCGGGUCGACCUAACGUUGAUACGUGGAUGAGAGCAGGACGACCAACUAUAUCGUUUUAGAAGUAGCGCUUGACUAGCCUGACUAGGGCUCAGACCCUACCCUAUUCUUCAACUUCGAGGUGGCGCUCCGCCCUAUCCAUGCAAAGCUCGGCAACAACCCUAUUUCUCUUUCAUUGCCUAGCUAACCAAUUCCGCUUUUCUGUCCCAUUGACAAUCGUCCACAGGUCCAGUUGCUCAAGCAAGAAUUCCAUCCUUGACUUCCAUUGUACAUGGCACCAUUCAACCUGUCCCCAACACUGAGUGUGGUCACUGACGUCAUUGGUACGACGGAUGUAGUCGCAGAGUAGACGGCUGACUUGCCUAAAAAAGAAAAAAUGGUUUUUGUGAUUCUCAUUUUUUUAUAGAUUCGGGUUUUAGCGGUUUCACCCAUGGAAUUAAAGAAAACUGCUCUGCUAUCCAGUCAGAGGCCAUCAGCCAUCCCGGCGUACUUUUUUUACGAGGAGCAAUCCGGAGGGCUACACGAGGACUAGGCAAUCAAGCUUUUCCAAACACAAUAGUCUCCUCAGUUUGGUAUUGCAAAGAUUCCAUCCUCGGUGUGACCAUAAAUAAAUAAAAAAAGAAAAAUGAAAAUAAAUAAAUAAGGAAGUACGUCGAUUCUGUUUGAAACAAAGACAGCAGGCAGGCAGACACGUCAAUGCAGGCACUCGUGAUUCCGGGGAAGGGAAGAAGCCACCCGGAUGCAUGCUCCUUACCUGUAUAGGCUUAGGGCUACCUUGCCUCCCGACUAGGAAGGAGAACAAGGUGUGGGGAGACACGAGUCAGCUGACAAGCAAUCAGAUCAUCCCCCUUCUCCUGGACCGGAAAAGAUGGGGUUACUUUACCCGGUUAAACUACUGAAGAUGUAAACUGAAAAGACGGGGCUGAUUGGCCCGAAGAUUGGAAUGACCCUAAAUGAGCUCCUUGGCUCAGGGAAGAUGAAGUAGGCUGAAAAAAGAGUUUUGACACAAAGGUGGGGCUCCUUGGCCCUUCCUGGAUGAAUUCCUUGGCUCGGAGUCGAAGCAAACUGAACGUCGAGAGGUGGGGGCUAUAAAGAUCCCAAUGAUUGAAGCGAUCCUAAGUGAGUAGACUGGAAAGAUGGUUGCUGAAGUGGGGCUCCUUGGCCCGGAGUUGAAGUAGAUUGAAAUUGAGCCACUUGGCUCGGGGAUGCUUGUUGAAGGGGGGCUCCUCGACCCGAAGAUGUAGCAGACUGGAAUUGAGUCAUUUGACUCGGAGAUGUUUGAUGAAACGGGGCUCCUUGGCCCAAAGAGAUGAUCGAAGGAGAGUGAGCCGCUGGGCUCGAUGACGCGGCAACAGUCAGUUGAGGAACGAUACCCGAGGAUGGGAUGGGGUUAGAGCUAGCUUCCCGGUCUAAUGGUUGGGAAGAAGAAGUUUUUCCUACAUGGAUGACAAGGGGAGGUCCAGUCCACGGGUGAACAGAUUGAGAGGAUCCCCCUUGGGAAUUGAAGUAGUUGACAGAUGAGGAUUCUUCAUCUCUAACCGCGGAUUUUGAGAAGUCCAUUCUAGAGCAAAUGGGCUUAUUGCUUACUCCCGGUUGAAAGAACAACCUCCUUUCAAUGAACACAUCUGGUUGGGAGAAGGAAGUUCCUAAGACAAUAGAGGGGUCGCGCCUAAUCGUCUUAGCUGGGUUAACCGGGGUUUCCUCAAGUCCCAAGAUCGUGUUUACCUGAUUACUACCUCCUCCUGAGCCCUUUGCUUCGUGAUUAGGAAGCGGAUUUGUGAAAAUCCCCAUAGACGGGUUUUGAGGAGGAGGAGCUUGGGCCUGAGCAUUCUGAUCAAAGUGAAGUUGUCCAGCCUUGACCAUGGAUUCGAUGACAUCUUGAAGAUUCCAACAUGAGUUGGUCUCAUGGCCAUAUGCUCGAUGAUAGGAGCAGAACGUCGGACAUAUUCACUUUGGUUAGAUCCUGAGGCCUUUGCUCAGGUAAAGUGAUCUUGCCUCCGGCUAAGAGUCAAUCAAGGAUUACUUCACAAGGAACAGGGAAGACUUUGUUUUCUCGAAGAGGCUUACGGGCAUUUGCAGCACCGUAGGCGAAGGGAAUUUGAGCAUCGAAGUUUCUUCUUUGCCCUUGCCCCUGGUUUUGGAAAGCUUGGUUACCUUGAGGCAGGGUGUAUUGAGGAAACAGGUUGGGAGGCUGAACUGGCAGCACUUGGGCAGGUUGGACAGGUGGAGGUAGAGCUGGUUGACUAGGAAGGGUUGCUAUAGGAUUAGGAGGAAGUGGAAGAGGUUGUUGGAGAGGAACUGAGAUUUGCAAGGGUACCUGGUUCUGGUUUGGGGAACGCUGGUAAUUCCCUCUCCUUCCAUUUCCCUGGGAAAUAGUGUUGAUUUGGUUGACACCACUAGACUUGAUGUCAGCCGUCUUCUUCUUUUGAGCACCUCCACUUUGGGAGGAGGGGGAAGAACCAUAACUCUUAGGAAACAUAGAACCAAAUAAUCCUUUCUUUAGAUUCCUCUCGAGUUGAGAGGCUCUUUCAUAAAGAUCAGGAUAGGUACUGUGACUGGGCGGAUAAGAGAUCGAAGUGGAUCUCUAAGAUUUUUGACCAGCAUCUGGACAGCUUGAGAUUCGGGUAGAGGGAUCUCGGUUUUGAUUAGAACCUCCCUAAAUCUACUGAAAAAGGCUUGAAAGUCCUCUUCAGGGCGUUGAGCUGUGUCCUGAAGAUCGGCGAUGGUUGGCUUCUUGCCAGUGAGAUAGGAGUACUGGUUGAGAAAGUUAGUGGCGAGAUCCUCGAAGGAUGUGAUGCUACCAACCGGGAGACUCCCGAACCACCUUGCGGCAUCUCCUUCAAAACUCUUCUGGAAGAGAAAAAUAAGGUUGUCCUUAUUAUCUCUCACCGGGAGAGUGUCGGAAAUGAAAAGUCGCAAGUGAUGGUGUGGGUCACCUUUCCCAUCAAACUUCGCAAACUUAGGUAUCUUGUACCAGGGUGGUAGACUUACAUUUGGACAAUGGCACAUAGCUGCCAGAGAACAUUUUUGAGUUGUAGCCGCUUGGGUGAACUCUAAGACCUGUCGCUCGAAAUCUUCCCGGGAAUUUCAGAUCCAAGGAUGAGAUGCAUUCCCGGUUGGAUGAGGAGGGGGGUUAGGGUUAACCCCAAAGGAGACUCUUUGGUCCAAGGGUUGGUCAUAGGGUCCUACAUUGGGUUGUGAAGGGUAGCCUGAGUUAGGCUGGAUAGAUAGACCAGGAACAUGGGAAGAAGGCUGAAGAUUUGCUAGACUAGGAUAACCCUGAUUGGGUUGAGAAAAAGAAUCGAUCGGGUAUAGAGGAGGCUCUUGUUGCCGAUAACCCAAGUUGGGUUGUGCCUGUUGACCCGGGCAGGGGGCGGAAGAGUCAAGUGUCAAUUGAGACAGCUGGACAUGGUUUGACCGACCGGUCAUGGGUGGAACAUGGCCUGCUUGACCCGAUGUCGAUGGCAUCUGGUCUUGGCCGGAUUGGAUUUCUUUAUGACUGACAUGGUCGGAUCUUGUCUCCCCACAAUCUCUUUCUGGUUGAGGAACCCACGUUUUCCGGUCUUAGCUUGACCGAUUCACUCAACUGAUACCACUAGCCUUGCAUUGUGUGGACUUCCCUUCCCCAAUCCAGAACUAGUCGACCUUUCAUCACAAAUUGAAGCAGAGGCAGUUGAAGAUCCAAUUGCAGAUCCCCUUUGUGGAAGCGGAACCAACUCCACGGAUAGCAUAUCCCUUUCUUUGUUUCAGUCGGGUACAAAGAUUACAGAGGAAAAGAAAAGUGGCUUCGUCAGUCAAUUGAGCUUCCGCCGGGCUCGCCCUUUUUUUUUCAGGUGAGGGAGCGGAAGCUGAGCUCGUCCUGUUCAGAGGUAGGAAGCGGGGAUGGGACAGUUUCCUUUAGUUGUUUGUUGUUCUGCUCAAAGGCGAAAUCAGACCUUCGUCAACCACUCAUCUAAUAGAGUCAGCAUGGGUCUCGGUUUUCCCGGGGACAGCUUUCUGGUACGGCUAUUGGCCUCUCUUCGUUGAACGGUGAUUCAAAGACAUAGAGUCUCUCCUUCAACAGCAAGGCAUUCACAAGGGUAUCCAUAAAAAAAAGGUAGGGAAACCAGCUAGCGCAAAGGAAGGGAGACGGGGUCAGAUGCAAUCAUGAAGGGAUCGGCCAGUUCAAAGAGAACAGAACGGUCAACUCAUCAAGCAAGCGCCGCUAUAGGGUGGAAAAGAGGAGGGAUAACAAGUCCAGAAAGGAAAGGAUAAGCCAAGCAAGAAGGCAAAGAGUGGUGCUGGGUUGAUAAGCCCUUAUUAGAUUAGGCGCCCCUCGCUCCUUCAUGAAUAAGGUUCAUCCGAGCAAGAUGAACUUUCUAGGGCUCUGUGGGCAUAGCUUGAUGGUCACGUAGUUACGGAUGGCGGUUUUUAUAUAGUAGCCGGUCACAGGCGUAGAGACCUCGUUCCAUCGGUUUAUCCGGAAAAGCCCUCAUCUCUUAAGGAAAAGGCGAUUCCACGAGGUCGAAUAGGCAAAGCGUUAUCCCCAUUUUUGAAUUCGAAUAUGCAGUUGAUUAAAUUAAGAAGAAUAUUAUUAUAUAAAAAAACUGAAUUAGAGGUAGAAGCUGCAGCCGGAGCGACAGAAGAUACAGCCAAAGAACCGGAAGAAUAGGAAUAGACUGAUCAGGUCUACGCCGCGCCGGAAACAAUGGAAAGAAUCUGCAACUCGAUCGGGAACUGCACCUCGCACGGCGCCCGCGGAGACGGCAGCAACGAGCUCAGGAAACUGAACAGCGAGGAAAGGGAAGGGAAGGACGGAGGCGGGAAAGGACACGCAAUAGAAAAAUACCAAAUGAAGAAACCUUGGCUAGACGAAGAAAACACAGAAGAUAAAAAGCUAGGCGGCGGACUCCCGCCAAAUAGCUCGCCCUUGUUUUCAGCAUGUUACCUCGCAGUGGAUCGAAGCUGCCAGUGGACUUCUUGGCAUUGCGCAAACAAAACUGCCAACCGAUAACGGCGCUGACACGCGCGCUUUCAAAUUCUGGCCUCGUCAAGCUUGAGCCAACACCUGGCGCGAAGUCACCUAAGCGACCCGACACCUAUUGAUCGAAAAGGAGUUUCACCUUUGUACCCAAGAAAGGCAGAAAGCGUCCGAUCUCUUUCUUUCCAACAACUACUGUACUAUAUUAUACAACAAUUGUUGCCUCGCUUCAUGCGGAAAAACCAGAAUGAACAUCUGUCUUAUCAGACCGCUUGAGAUCCGUUAGGGCGCCACCCCCCGUCACUUGCAGUGGUUAGCUGCACGAGCGGAAUUGAGUCUAUUCCAUGCUUACAGGCGAAUAAGCACCUUCGGGGAGUCGAUUAAGCCUCCCUAGGCUUUGGGCGGUCCAUUCCCUCGACUUUACUACUUACGCUUCUCCUCAACCGGUGCGGCCAAUCGUCCUCUUCCUUCUUCCAUCGCUUCUAUCAUCCGACAUCGAUCUCGGCUCGGCCUCCUUGACAAAGCAAUGUGAACAACGUGCUGAGAUAGGUCUAGAGGUGUCUCAUCCCCCAAAUGACAAGCAAUCCUUAGUGUCAGAAGCAAAGAGUCAACGAAGAGCACUUCUAAGUAUCCCCGCGGCCCGCCGUACAGCUAACCCUGCUCGUCGGGAUCUUUUUUUUUUCCUAUAUUUACAUGCUGCUCUGACCUCACCUCAUUGCGCUCGGGGUAGGGCAUUCGAUUACUCAUUCGCUUUGUUACGAAAGACGUAGAGAGAUGCGAGAUGCGCAGCCUUUGAUCCAAUCCAGCUUCGAGGGCCUUACCAUCCCGGUAAAGGAAUGACAGAUCCAGUUCAUCCUCAUAGCAUAGGAAGGAAUUCUUCGUCUCCCCAUGAGUACUCCCUUUCCGCAAACCCUAAAGCUACUCUUACUAGAGCGCGGUUCCUUUGGCAACUAACACUCGCUACAAAGAUGUAAACUCACGAGCAUUGAUCGUAACGUGAAUCGACGGAUUGGAAAACUUAAAGCUCGGGACAUGAAGCAGCCAAUCAUUCUGAUCCAUGGAUUUGCUUACAUUGAACGGGUAAUCACUUCGCCCAACGGAUGUCUUUCAGUUGGUGAAUAGGCAUCGACCAGUUCAUCAAUCCGAAGAUCGCAAGUCAGUGCAAUCGGGGCUUAUAGUCCGGCGAUUCGUCUUUGCAGAGCUGGCCAACCAGGAAUCAAGAGGUCAUAAUCCAUUGUCGCAUAGAAGGAGAUGUGCCCAAAUAGCAGUCUGUCUCUACAUCGUAGACGGGUUGGGAAGACGGUUAGGAGAAUUGAAAUCCUCCAUACGAUUGCCCUCCGCCCGCAGUACAGUUUAUUCUUUCCAUACGAGAAGGGGCGGUCCAUUGAAGAAAUUGGUAGGAACUGGGGAACUAACUAAACGAGGUGGCACUAUCGAAUUGGAAAACGCAAGGGCUAGACCGCCCGAAACCCUCCGUUCGAAUCAUCCUCGAUUAGUCCUAAGGAGUAACGUUAAACUAUAAGUCAACCCGAAGUGGGCGCAACCAAUCCGAAGGUCGAGGCUGCCGUGAAGCCGGUCGUUUGGGGCAAUCUUUCUAUGAGAUAAGCCGGGCGCGGGUCGAGGGAGCGGGCCCAGAAAAAGCAUCCGAAAGCAAGCCGUGCAAUCCGGGCUUAGGUCUGGUGCACGGUGUUAUCAGAAAGCCCCCCCUGCCGGGUCAUCUUGCAUGAAGGCUACCAUGUAAUGACCUCUUUCUGAAGUUUGCCAGUUUCGGUCGAGGAAGCACCCCUUUAGUGUUUGCUUUGUCCAAAGCAGAGGCUACGUUUCAGUUGAUCGCCGGCAGAGGUCAAUCUAGAGGCAGCAAUCCCUUGUCACAAACAAAGAAGGGAAUAUCUCUGUGCUCCGGGCGGUUUGAGGUCAACAGGCUGGUCUAGCGCGCAAGGGGCGACUGCCCGAAGUUCAACGUUCGUUAGGGAUGAGCUGCUCGGAUUGAGGAUAACCUCAACCCACUAGUCUGACUGUCCGAAAAUCACUUUCGUUAGGAUAGAGGGCCUGCCUCAACCCAGUUUAGGGGCUAGUUGGCAACCUGCACCCUUAGCCAUCAGUCGUACAGUAUAUUCAUUAUAUGUGAAAAAAGGUCGGCGCACCGCACUGGGGCAAGCGAGUCCCGGGUGGGAGACACUAACCAAAGAGCAACCAGUCAUAGGUGCACGCCGAGCUAACAUUCCCUUUGAAAGGAAAUGCGAGCGAUGCCUCGUUGCGCUUGAGGUAGGGCACGCUGAUAUUCUAACUAGGAAAAAAGUCGCGAUGCGAGACACGUAACAACUAGAUCCAAUCCAAAUAAGGGGCCCAACCAUCCCGGUUAAGGAAUGACAGGUCUACGUUCUGGUCCACCCGCACGUGACGGAAUUGUGCAUAGUCCGUAUGUCAUCCCGCUUCCAAACCCCGAUCUUACUCUGUCUGGGGAGCUUCCCUUAACUUUACUACUCGGCGCAAGGAUGAAACUCCGGGGCAUUGAUUCGUAACGCGAAUCGCCGGAUGUGAUUCGAUAGAUGAAUAGGCAUUGAUCAGGCCAUCACUCUGGUCGACGAAAGCAAUUCUGUGCAACGAGGGCUUAAGUCUUUGGAUGUCCGGUAUAGGAAGCAUCUCUUUGGUCUUUGGUUAUCCAGAGCAGUGGUCUUCAGCAUAUAAGUCCAAAAAAGUCUAGCGCAUGUCAUGCUCGUAACUUAGGAAGUAGACUAAACAAAUGGGAGAAGGCGUUGGUGACAAAGCCAUCUCGUCCGUCAAUUAACGAUGAAUAAGCCGUCACUCUCUAGAAGGGCGAGGCAAUCCUUCCAUCUCCAAUCAUGUGGGGGAUGUAAAGACCAAAGUCAAAGUACCGACCCAAACGGGGUAUGGAUAUACAUAGAGGAAGCUAGCAGCGCGUCAGAAAUCCACUUUUCUAAAUAGCUACCCGCCGAAAGGAAUACAGACAAGCAUUGAACCGUAAAGUGGUUCGACUGACGGGGGAUAAGGAGACAUUCAUCUGUAUUGUCAGAACAGAUCAACGGAGGCAUACCGUGCCACCGGGGGUGACGGGAGCGCGCCGUACUGUAUGGAGGAAGGCAAGAUAGCUACCAAUGCCAUCCAGUCGAGCCCCAACCACUGACCUCAACCCGCACUAAAGAAUGCUCGUAUAUAGGAACCGCCCAUGUUAGUCUUUGGCUAUACAGACAGUAGUUAUAAGCAACUAUAAGUAAGCCGAUUUCGCACAUCACAUAACCGAAAGAGGUCGGAGUUCGUGUAACUCAGAAAGUGGGACAAAACAAAUUGAGGAAGGAAGUGGGAGUUCCUUCCGUUUGAAAGAACUUCCUUAUGUUAACAAAGUGGGAGCCGAGUGCUUCGUUUGAUGGAAGCACGAGGUGAGCUUCAAUGCUUUCUUCUCUUCCUUAGCGUUAAGCGUUUGGUGAGAGAGUUGCUUUAACGCGUUAAUAAGGGUUUAUUGCACCCGCCUCAUUCCCUUGACGCGAUCAGGUAAUUUCAUUAAUGUGCUUGGAUUUUUAUUCAUCAGAGGUGCGGGCAGACGGAUAAGGAGAGCAAGUUCGUCCCAUGUCGUUCUUUUCCUUCUUUCUUCGAAGCUUAAAGGUGGAGUCUUUUAGAGUUUUUUUUUAAUAAUACCAAAAUGCUCUGUCGUAAGCCAGCUUUGAAAGCUAUCCAUGAGCCGCAGGAACGGAACAAUUUGCAGUGGUGAAAGCGCGCUACUGAGGCAUCAUCCGAAGCGGGAAGAUUCUCCUUUUCUUUAGAUAAGUUCUAAUAAAAACGGUAGUGAAAGGGUAGUAAGGGAUUUUUUUCAUCGACCUUGUAGUCGUUAUCUCGCCGUAUGAAUUUGUUUGUAAAUGCGGGUUCUUACCCCUUAUUCGUCAGUAUGAGAUUAUUAAGAGUCGCGAAGGAAGGUUCCCCGAAGGGAGCCGGGGUAGGAAGGAAUGUUUAGAGAUGGAGCGAAAGACCGCACUCGAGGCAGAGAGCGCUCGAAGACUUUCCUUCCUUAUUAGGAUGUAGAUCGAGAUCGAGGGUAAGAAGCUCCAACUCAAGUUCGAUAAUGACAUUUUAGCAGCCUGUAACACGUGUUAAACAUGGGCGAUGGGUGGGGAAGAGAAUCGGGAAUGAAGACCACAAGGUAGAAAUUCUCCUUGCCGAAAGAGAUCACUCAGAAGGGCUUAAAUCUAACUCCGAAAAUGGAGAGUUUUGAUCCUGCCUGAGGCAGAAAUGGAGCGAAAGUCACAAUUCCACGAUUAGGGAUCAGGCUUGUCAACGAUCUUUUGUGGGAUCUGGGGAAGCGCUUUUCUUAUUGAAAAAAAUAGGUAAAUCUAAACUUUCGACCCCUGAAUAACCCAUCUUUGGAGGUACACCGGCCGUGCCACAUAAAGCGCUUCAAAAUGGUCAUACUAAAGGAACGGUGGAAGACCUAUUUGAGUGAUCUUUCUUCGAAUCUGCUUCUUCUGAGCCCAGCCACCUUUUGGCUCGCUCUGUAUACUCUACUCGUUCCCUUGCUUUCGUCCUCCCAUUCAUGCAUGAAGUAGAUCCACGAAAAGGACAUCUUCUAACUAGAAAAAGAAGAGUUUUUACCCCUUCCAUCCCCGGGACGGAAAAGCCACGAUUCCGCGGUUAGGAAUCGAGCGUGUUAGCGGUCUUUUCCGGGGCUUGAGAACAAGGGUUUUGAUCCAUCGAUUGAAGAAGAGAAUAGUAGGAAUUUACCCCUCUGGUGUGUAACCAGAUGUUAUUGUAACACUUUCAAAGGGCUUGGUUCCGGCUUAAUCGGACGAAGCGGGCAAGCCAGCCUUAGUAGCACCUAUGCUAGUCCACUACUGAAUGAUUAUGAUACGCCAUCUCGAGAGAUUGUUCUCUACCGGGACUGGCAUUACACACCAGCAGAGAUCGGGGAAGACGUUCCACAGCUGCUUGUGAGCUAGACUUGCCUGUCUGAUCACCUUAUGAGAGAAUCAAUGAGAGUAGCGGAUAGGUAGGCGGCUCAGAAAAGGCAUUUCCCAAGCUUUUUGGGUGCUCCAACUGAUGGUUCUCCCCACCUCUUUCUUUGAAGCAGAAAGGCAAAGAGCUGUUCGCGGUUCCUCUGUGAAAACUCAAAGGAAAUAUAUUCGCAGAAGCUUCAGAGGCCAUACAGCGAAAGAUUCCUUUAAAUAGCUCAUCACGAGAAGUAGUCCUUUGGUUCUAGAUUUGUUGGUCUUCCUUCCCAGAUUCCCUUUCCCGGGCCAGCUCAACUUAGAAGGGCAGUACCCGUGUACUCAACUAUCAAUCUUAGUACAUUUAGCAUAUCAUUUAUUUUGAUAAUGUCGAGGAGGCCAUCGAGUCCAGUAGUCAUUGAUCCGCCCAAACUAGUGUAGUAUUUACAAUUCGCUUGGGAUAACCGCUAGUUACUAUAAGAGAGUAGCAAGGGCAGAGCUGCUCCACCCGAAGCAGGGACAAGGGGCAAACCAACAGCAUAUCUUCCAUCUCGAGAUGGUGAUUUAGAUUCACGAAGCUAUAAGCACCGGAGCGAGCACCAAUAUCACUUGAAUUUGAAGGAGCAGAAAGACCUGGAAAUGUUACAAGUUGAUCUUUUUGCGAAAUACAUUUGAAGGUGGGUCGAUGCCCCUGUGAUUUUGACCAUCGGCAGUCCUGGCCAUGUCAUAAAAGGCAGAAAUGGCUAUGUGAAAUAGAAUAUUUUUCCCCAUUUGAUCUUUUUCGGACCUUCUGACCCCACCCUGAACCGCUCAUAAUCGGUAUCAUACAUAGCCUGUUCCUGGGCCAAUUGAUCCAGUUGGAGCUUAUCGUUUUCCUAUUGAAGAAUCGUUUUUUCCAGUUAAGUUAUUUAUCUAAGGCUCAAGGGCAAGAAAUGGCUCUACCUACUAUACCAACGGAGCAAAGCCCUUUCCAUACGCUAUCGAUUGGUAUAGCUCAGAAUGGUUCUGGAUCGAUUCCACCGGAACUUCAAAACGAUUACUGGCCGAUGUUCCGGUAUGGCGGGUGUAGAAGUAUACCAUUAUAGGGAGCUCCGUCCAUACCAAUGGUGGAGUGAAAAGCUGUCGUGAUUCAUCUCCACCUGCCAACCAUGGGAACUUACUUAUGAAUCUAACUCUUUUGAAUAAACCGUCGGCUCAUGGAGCUACAGGGAAUGAUACUGACAGAGAAGGGUAAACUCCUGCCAUAGUUAUUAUGUCCCCAAACUCGACAGUUUUUUGAUCAUCCCCCCUAGCUCACAUGGAGUAUGUUACGCCUUCCAAUGGAUAAACGUUAGUACCCGUGGAUAGAGAUGUUUUCCCAAUGAUUGAUAGAUAUACCGGGGAGAUAGUUUGGCAAGCAAGAUCUUCUACUGGAAAUGAAGCUGUCUUCUACGGGAGAAACUUCGUCGGAUAGGCCGGAGUGAGGGAGCCCAGUAAUAUAUAUAAUAAAAAAGUAUUAUAUAUAUUAUAAGAUAUAUAUUACUUUAUAAUAUAUAUAUAAUAAUAUAUUUAUAAGAUAUUAUAAGAUAUUAUAAGAUAUUAUAAGAUAUUAUAAGAUAGUUAGUUAAAGAUAAAGAUUACUUAUUACAAAAUUUUUAGUCCCUUCGUUCCCGUCUGAGAGACUGACAUCAGACUUGUAGUCAUUCCGGGAACCUACAAGACCUUGUCGAAGUAGAAAGAUUGUUCCCUCUCUGAACAUGAAUGGCGCUCUAUCUAUUCCUUCAACCCUAUGUUGACUGCUGUCAAGAUUGAUGCAGGAAUGAAAUUAAGAAAAGACCUUUCUCCCGUGUGCCAUGUGCCUUGAAGCUCCAGAGUCUAUGAUCCAGUCCAUGCUAUUUGCGUGAUGGAAAAUAGUAGGAACUGGACGUCGGAAGAAUCCGCAAAUGAAUAUUCUUUAUUUCCUCUCGGACAGGCCCUCUUUUCUCAUUCGAAUGGACAUCUCUUUCGGUAAUGAUCAUCUACAACUGAAAGACUGACGUCUUCCUCUACUCGAUCCUUAGUUAGACUAUCUCCCUCCACCUCGAUUCUUCUGAUCCUCAUAGCCGAACUCCUUUUUUAUUCGCGUCCUCCCCCUGGAUCUAUUCCUGCCGCGUCCACGUCCUCUGCCUCCAGCAACUAGAGCUGCAUCAUCUUGCUCAUUAUUGAGAAUAGGCCUCUCCUCACACCGUACCAGUUCAUCGAUAUGCUUCAUGCAGUUUCAUCUUCCCGUAUGAAUCCUACUUCUUGAGUGUAUAGAUGCAUUUCAAAAUUCAAUCUAUUCCCACGUCACUCUUCUCAUAACAUAUCCUGUUCUCCUAACUUUUAUCCCGGAUUCACCGGUUGAUUUAAGACGGGGUUCUAUGCUUUCUAGCCCCAUUUGACAAAAGUGAGCUUCCCCUAUCUCUUUUGUAGGAAUCAGAUAGCAAUGCUCAUUCAUAAAUAGCUUCCGCAACUUCGUCGGAGAGAUCAAUGGAAACUCAUAAAAGCGGACGGCAUUGUUCAUACGAUCGCCGGAAAAGUCAGUUCUCACGCCGGCUAUUCAAAAAAUAAAGAAAGACUCUUUCAUAAACUUCAUUUUUUCGAGUAUAAUAGCUCUUAUACGCUUGUACAGAGGAGUCUACAACAAUGUCCAUAUAUAGGUGCUUUGUAUCCUACAAAAACAUUAACAUCCUAAGCACCGUAAGCUUGCUUUCUCUCCCGCUGACAGACAAAGAAAAGAUUGAUUUAGACUAGUCUAUGGUAGGCCUACGCUAGGCUUUUGUAUAUAUUUAUUGUAUGAUCGCUUAGCUCUCUCUACUCUUUGCUUAAGCUAUCGUGUCGUGUAGAUGGAUGACAUCUCCCUAUUCCCACAUCCCCGGAUAUGAUUAAUGCAUGGAAACUAAUUAAGCUUCUUCGGCCCAAGAUGCAAUCAUUUGGACUCCAUCCGAAUAUGGGAGUUUCACUCUUAUACGGCUUGGCUCUGGAAAAUUUUCUUGGGCAAAAAAAACAUAAAAAAAAAAAGAAGAGCUUCUUGUUUCCAAGCGGAACUCGAAUGGGCUGCUAGCAGAUUUGUUGGAGAUGGCAAGUUAACACCGUGGGGCCUUUCACUCGCUCUGGCACAUUUUGGCGGAACGUAAACGUUAUAGUAGAAUCUUUGAGGUAAAUGAUGUUUAAAAAAAGAAAAAUGGAAAAGAGGAUUUGCGAAGAUAUGCAGAUUAGAAGCUAGUAUCUCCAGCUUUAUGAGAAAGAAGACGAAGAAUCGGCGAGCAUCCUAGCCAAAUGGGACUUGUGUCUCAAUCCGAUCAAAAAGAAACAUAUUGUGUGUUGACCACCGGGAAAGGAAUGGAUUAAGAUUAAGACGGACGGUUCAAUUAGCGAGCAUGGGAAGGCUUGUGGAGGUUUAGCAAGAGACGACAAAGGGGAUAUAUGCGCUCUCUCAAGCAGUUAAGAACAAGACCAUACUCGAAGUCGAGCUCUUUUGCAUCUUCCAAGGUAUGAAAAUAGCAGCUGAAAAGGAGUGUCAGAGGAUUUGGAUUGAUUCGGAUUCCCUAACGUAAGACAUGGUCUACUCUCAAGAUCCAAAAGUCCGCAGCUAAGGAAAGCCUCUUCUUCAUAAGAUCAAGAAGGUACUCGCUAGUUUCGAAGAUUUGAAAAUCUCCCAUACUUGGAGAGAAGCAAACCAACCGGCCGAUUUUAUGGCAAGCUUUGACUAUGCGGUUGGUAGUAGACAUAUUUGGUCUUCACAUUUUCCCUUCCAUUUUGUAAAGUUAAUUGAAGAGGAUAGAUCCGGGAAAUUGUAAAUACGAAUGUCAAUCUUCAUAUUGAUAAACUAUAUACAUUGGUAGGGGUCGAUCAGGCUAAUCCCAAAGCUUACCCCCGAACAGCUGCCGGACUGCUCUACUGACCUUCUCUCUCUUCGAACUCACUGAACCUUCUCAAAGACUCCUUUUGCACUGAUAACACAAUUCAUCACCGUCCUUCUCACAAGAAGGCAAACCUGGUACGUUGAUCGAAUCUUCUUUCGCAUCCAGAAGAGAGGCAGUGGGCUAUCCGAGAGAGUGGUUCAGGUGACUACCGGAGUCAUUGAUUAAGCAGGUCAGAUGGGCUUAGUAGGGCUCGAACCUACAAUAUCACCGUUAUGAGCGGUACGUUUCAACCAAUUAAACUAUAAGCCCCUACGGAUCUCUACAUGCAAUUCCUUCGGGAAGAGCGGACAGAAAGAGGAGACCUUUGCUCUAUCUGCUUCUUCCUCUUCCCGGGGCCCCCGGAGGGGUUCUUUGGCAAGCCCUACUAAAGAAGCUAAGUGACUUUCGUCACCCAAGUAGUGAGUUUGAGAGUGACCGGUAGGGCGACCACUUGUACUUCUAGGCGUUGGCGACCUAUAGUCUUGUCUUGUUACGCAACACGGCUUCACUCGAUUCAGUAUUUCAAUAGAACAAACAAGCCCACUAAUAGCUUAGAUAGUGGCCCUUCCACUUUGGUGUAGUUGACCCUACCUAUUGAAAAAAAGGUAAGACCUCUGACUCAAGGUUCAUAGGAACAGGGAACCCUUACGUAGUGGGAUGUAGGCUUCAGUUGUUUUGGUACUUUUUCACGACGUCUUAUUAUUUAUUUAGUCACCGGCUGUUCACCGGCAGGUCAGUAGGCCUUUUAGAAGGCGAACACUAGAAAGUUCUCAGCGGGCGCUAGCGCUAUGUUGUUCGCUUUUGUCAACUGAAGUCGCGCGUAGCGCCAACUAACUGAUAGCUGAUAGAGCGCGGAGCCCCGUUUGAGUCUAAGCGAGCAGAGCCAUUUGUUUCUACUGUCGUACUACUAAAAUCAAUCAAAAAAGUACCAAAGGCGAACGGCAUUCUGUUGUACAGCUACUUUUGUAUAGUGACAAAGGUAACCGGUAGGUGACUUUUGAAUCGACAGUAGUGACGAAAGGGGGAAAUAGCUCAGUUGGUUAGAGUGCUGGUCUGUCACGCCAGAAGUCGCGGGUUCGAACCCCGUUUUCCCCGCCCGAUCCUCCAACUUCCUCCUGCCCGACCCAUUUGGUCUUCACUGGAAGCUGCUGAUCCCGGUGUAGCAUUCAAUACAAUUCUUCUUUCUUCGGUCUCCCUCCACCCCCUUCGUUUGUUGUGGGUCGCGUCUCACCGCAGGCACUUAAUGAAUGAGUGGAGAUCUUCCUUCCCCCCUUGCUAAUUACCAAGGACUUCGUUGCCACUAGUGGCGAAGAAAAAGUCUACCAUCCCACCCGGCCUCCCCCGGGGGGGUGAAGGUUCCUCUCGGAGACUGCCAGUCUACAAGAAGCUGGCAGAGCUUUAGCCAUUGGACCACAUCCAUCCUCCUACCUAAACAGUAACCCUUUUCUUGUUCGUUCUUCGAAUUACGCUAGUGGAGACUCCUUCCGGCUAAUGAAGAUACUACUCCAGUCUUCCCAUUCAUUCCCAGUGGAUCCUUCUUAUCCCUUUUCAUUGAACGAACCAAGUUCACCUAUACGAGAGUGAGGAAGACAUUUCCAACAAUCAACUUCCCACUUUGGAUGUCCCGUUUGACGAUUCUGCUGCUAGUUUAGAAAAAUAAAGGAGAAGGACAGGGGUCGCUAGGUCAGAAAAGCUCUAACUCAAAAUUCGAAUUCAGAAAACUCAAAAUCUCCCCAAGUAGGAUUCGAAC
rnacentral:lncRNA from 1 species